rnacentral:rRNA from 1 species
UGGCCAGACAAGUCCGUUGGGAAAUCCACGCGCUCAACGCGUGGGCGUCCAGCGGAAACUAUCUGGCUUGGGGCCGGAAGACCCGAGGGGUACGUCCGGGGUAGGAGUGAAAUCCCGUAAUCCUGGACGGACCACCGGUGGCGAAAGCGCCUCGGGAAGACGGACCCGACAGUGAGGGACGAAAGCCAGGGUCUCGAACCGGAUUAGAUACCCGGGUAGUCCUGGCCGUAAACGAUGCCCGCUAGGUGUGGCGCAGGCUACGAGCCUGCGCUGUGCCGUAGGGAAGCCGAGAAGCGGGCCGCCUGGGAA